GGGGCCAGAAUCCUCAGGCUUUGCAGAACCUCCAUAGCAGCCAUAGACAGCUGUCUCUGUGAUCAGUAGACAUGGAACGACACCCAAGGAAGUUUGUCUACUCACCAUGGCUUACAGACAAUUUGAAGGUGCUAAAACCACACUGAAUGCAGACCUCUCCCAGCCUGCUUUCUCUGCUUAGGCUGUGGGCAAAUGGCACAGAUCCUUGGGUCGUGAGCAGGAACCUGCAGUGUCUAUACAUCUUUGGCCUUUGCUCAGAGGACAGUCCUGACCGAAGCCAUCUGAGGAUCUCAACUCAAGGUGAGCAGCUGGACAGCCCUGCCCAGAUGGCAGGACUCCAGGCCUCCCACCUCUUGGUACGUGAGACAGCACAGAAUGCUGGGGGGCCCUGCCCUCUUUCACCUCACCCAGGCUAUCAAUCGUUACUUCACUAGGUCUCUCUGUGAAUAGUUCUUGAACCUGGAAUUCAAGCCUCCUUCCCAUGUUCCUGUCCUUCUUCUGGGGGGACCUAGCCUCCUGAUUGUGUCCUACUGUAGGGUUCUUCUCUUAGGAGACCAGAGACUUUGCUAGAGAAGUCUGAGUCUGUUGCUGGCCCCUCUGCAGGCAUCUUGGACACAUCUCCCCAGUUCAUACUCUUGGCCUGACUACCGUUUUCACAUCAUGGUCUUGCCUCACGCUGAACAGAGCACUAUCCUGGUUCCUGCUCCUUAUGCAGGUUCCUUGGCACUGUGGCUGGAAUAGCUUAGUCCUGGGAACCUGACUAGAAGGACAAGGAAAUGAAGAAAGGACAGACACAUGUACAGAAAAGCUGGGGUCAGGAGAACCAUGCUUGCUCUGAUGUAACAGCACCAGCUACACAAUACCCUGGACCAUCGGUGUGUUUAUUAUGCAUAGCAGGAAGAGCAGUUAGCUAGUCUCGGUAGGAGGACUUAGUAGGGGAGCUGUCUCAGCUUGUAGUUAUCUGAGAGGAGGAAGCUUGAUCAUAAAUACUCAUACUGG
rnacentral:lncRNA from 1 species